UUAGCCAUUGGAUCAAUUGAAAGAUACUAGUCCAGAGGUGGAAAAUCAUGUGCACGGUAAGAGCAUGCACACCACCAAAUCAGUAUCCUUUCCAAUACAAGGGAUUUUACUAAUUCAAGCCAAUACUUAUGUUUUCAGCCAGUAGUCGACUACUGGCAUUAGGCUCAUCAUGUUUUCACAUCAUACUCACAUACUACAUUUCGAAUUCUUGGGCAACACAAUAUCCAAGGGCCAAAAUUGAAAUGGUUCAUGAUUAUAAGUGCAAUUCAUAGCUUCACAAGUGUAGACAGUUCAUAACCACUCUCCUAGCAUACGCUAAAUAAAUAUGACUACAAGAUCCUAAUAGAUUUAGAUCACUUAGUAAAUGAAUCCAAAUCCUUAUCAAGCACAUAAAAAUUGUUUUGAUUGUAUUAAUGUUGAGAAUCACCGCAAAAGGAGAUAAAAUGAAGGUAUGAAAGGAAAAAGAAAGAGCAUCUACAUGUCUAUGGAAACUGCAAACAAGCAUCCAAAAUGGAACCUUCAGCACGAACUAUUUAAGUGAAAGGCAGCACCCUUGAUGAACAACACCCACCCCCCAAAAAACACAAAACACAAAACACACACACACAAGGUAAUGUUAGUCACAACAGCUAAUGAUAACAUACAUACAAAAGGGCGUGUGCAUGUCAAGUGACGAGCUGUCCAACCCAGUAAAGUCAAACCCACAUGCACAGGGUGAAAAAUUCAACAUGAAACACUGGUUCAGGGUUCCACUCCUACUACAAUCCAGAACAACAAAGGCGACAAAAAAAUAUGUGCAUUACAAAAUUCUAGAACAGUACUAAGUAUAAAAAGAUUUUUGGCAUAAAAAGAACCGUUGAAGUGUGAGCACAUAAGCAUUCAUUGACAUGAUGGAUAGGACAGGAUGGUUAACUAAAAGUUGGCAAGAGAAUUGGAUGAAGUGCUUGGGAAGAAAUGAGGGGAAGUACAAAGAUUGAUAUAUUUGAGUCAAAUAAUAGGAUGCCUAAAGAAUUGCCAGCAAAUGAUAAUUAAAAUAUUUCUCUUAUCUUUCAUCUGUAGAAUUUGGAAUUACCAUAAUGCAUUAAGUAAGCACAAAAAUCAGACCCAUCUCAUUAAAGUUAUCUGAAUGGAUCUUUGAUUGAUCUCUAAAUCUUUCAUCAAUGGCAAACAGAUGCAAGUUUUCUCAUUUUCCCAUGUGCAAAAACAAUACUACAGGUAAGAAAUGUGACGAGAGGUUCAUAGGGUGAUGCACUCACUUGGACCAACAAUUAGCUGGAGAAAGCUUAAAAGAAUGGUUGGUUGCAGUGUCUGUAGGACUCCAGUAAAUUAUUUCAUUCCGAGCAUUCUCCUCCAGAGGUUUCAGAGAGAAAUGACUAUCACCCUCUAAUGGAGGGAAAAAAGCAUUCUGUAACCAUGGAUCAUUAUCGCUUGAACAAGUGACUGGACUAAAUGCCCCACCAUUCUGGCCAUUGCG
rnacentral:misc_RNA from 1 species